CCCUACGGGUGGCUGCAGUGGGGAAUAUUGGACAAUGGGCGCAAGCCUGAUCCAGCCAUGCCGCGUGGGUGAAGAAGGCCUUAGGGUUGUAAACCCCUUUCAGCGGGGAAGAUAAUGACGGUACCCGCAGAAGAAGUCCCGGCUAACUCCGUGCCAGCAGCCGCGGUAAUACGGAGGGGACUAGCGUUGUUCGGAAUUACUGGGCGUAAAGCGCACGUAGGCGGACUGUUAAGUCAGGGGUGAAAUCCCGAGGCUCAACCUCGGAACUGCCUUUGAUACUGGCAAUCUCGAGUCCGGAAGAGGUGAGUGGAAUUCCUAGUGUAGAGGUGAAAUUCGUAGAUAUUAGGAAGAACACCAGUGGCGAAGGCGGCUCACUGGUCCGGUACUGACGCUGAGGUGCGAAAGCGUGGGGAGCAAACAGGAUUAGAUACCCCUGUAGUCGUC
rnacentral:rRNA from 1 species